rnacentral:rRNA from 1 species
CUGUCCAGGAAUUAAGCCAUGCAUGUGUAAGUAUAACUAAUUUACUUUGAAACUGCGCAAUGGGGCCUUAUAUCACUUAUAGUUUAUUUUUUGAAGGAUACUAAUUGGAUAACCGUAGUAAUUCUACGGCUAAUACAUGCUGCAAGUCCCCUUGGGAUGUGGUUGGGAGAAUGAAAACCAUAUGCUUCGGNCAUGAUAGUGAGUAAUAUUGACCUAUCGUAUCGCAUGCUGUAAUCAGCGAUGAGUCUUUCAAGUAUCGGCCCUAUCAAUUUUCGAUGGUACCAUAUGGGUCGGCCAUGGCAGGACCGGGCAAGGAAGAAUUUGGGAUCGAUUUCUGAGAGGGAGCCUGAGAAAAGGCUACCACAUCCAAGGAAAGCACAACGCGCGUAAAGUACCCGAUCCUGACUCACGCAGGCCCUGACCAUAAAUCACAAGGCAGGACUCAUAGUCUUGCGAUUGGAUUGAGAACAGCAUACAAAUCUAAUCGAUAAUCCAUUCGAUGGCAAGUCUGGUGCCAACGGCCACGCUAAUUCCAGCUCCAAUAGCAUAUCUUAACCCUGUUGCAUUUAUUAACCUCAUUGCAGUUAAAAAGCUCACACCC